UGGAGUGUGCAGACUUACUGGGCCUUUGCACCACUGGGCCAGCCCUCAGAAUCAGUAAUUUUCACUGGUGAGUUCUAUAGGUCAUCAACAAAGAUGGCACCAAAACCUUAAACUAUGUAGCCCAAUCUCAGCUAUGAUAGCAAAAAAGUUCAAAAUAAACUGUUGAAAUAUAUCAAAUCCAGAGCAUUUAAACAAAAUAAUAGGCUAUAAUAAUAAACUCUGAUUUAGUAUUUUACCCUUGCAAUGCAAGAAUAGUCCAAAGUAGGAAAUUCAUUAAUACAAUAAACUGUAAUAAUUACUUAAAGGGGGGAAAACAUAAGCGCUUAUUUCUAUAGAUAUUAAAAGAUUAAAUUUCACAUUCCUUUCUGAUAAAAACUCAUGGUAAACUUGUAGUAAAAGAAAACUUGCCCAAUAUGAUAGAAAGAAUUUUGCACAAGUCAACAGCAACUACAAAAACAAAAAUCAUGCCUAGUUUGACAAUCUAGAGGCAUUCUCAUGAAAGUGAGGAAUAAGACAAGGAAACAGUUAUGAAGGCUAUUCAGAAUAUUUCAUUUCUUUUCCUUCCAGGCCUCUGAUAGGAUUGCACUGUUCUCAACCCUCUUGACAUUAACAUUUGGUGUGGCUUCUUUUAGCCAGUGGGUUGUGGCCAGAGGUCAUGAGGCUUCUUCAAGGUCAGACUAAUUAUUUCCAGCUGGAGACCUCUGCUUCGCCCUGCUGUGGUGAUUGUGGAAGCGUAUGUUGAAAUGCAGUCUCCAUCAAUCUGGGUCCCUGAGCAACAACGAUGAGCAAGCACCCAUCAAUCUGUGUUGGACAAUAGAGGAGGGAGAAAUGCACACUUGUUGUAUCAAGGCAUUUACACACUGAGUGUUACUGUGUUGUCUGUGUUACUGCAGCACAACUUAGCCCACCCUGACUGACACAGGAGCCUAUUACUCCUGUGUUCUACAUUCCUUUUAGUACUAUUCCUAUAUUUACCUUAAUUUUUAAAAAUUUGUGAAUUAUAUUUUUGUGUGUGUGAGGUAUAACAAUUUUUCUUAAUGUGUAGUCAAUUGUCUACAAAUAAUUACUUAUUAAUUUGUGUCAUCUUUAUCAUACAGUAAAAUCCCAUAGAUAUGGUUGUUUUGUUUUGAACUCUCCUCUGUUCUGCUCUUCCUUUUUUAUGUAUGCCAAAACUAUGCUGAUAGUGUUUGUGAUGGUGCCUUUGGAGUUAGACUGUCUAGUCUAGAAUUCCAUUUACAUUAUUUAUUAGCUAGUAAAUUUUGGGCAAGUUUAUCCUUUCAGGUCUCAGUUUUCUCUUCUAAGUAUUGGAUAUUAAGAAUGCUGUCUACUUCCUAGGGCUUGGGGGAGAAUUAAAUGAGAUAAGGGACAUAGCACACUUAGCACAGUGUCUGGCACACACUGAGCCUUGUGCUUCUUGGAGAAUGUUUUAGCAUUCUAAACAAAAUUUGAAACUUCUUCUUAGUUUAAAACUUUUCCUCUUCACUCAUUUCAAAUCACUGGUGAAGGGGUAGCAAAUAGGUUUCUACUAAUGAGCCAACACAAUCUGGUGGCCAUAACAAAUUAGUCAGAGUUGGCACAUAAGGAGAGGAAGUAUUUAUUAUCCAGUUCUGAUUCAGUCAUUCUCCUUUAUUUUUAACAUUGUUUGUUACAGAUGGAAGAGGAACCCUGCAUUGGUUAGACACAGAAGACACAGUUCCUGACUGACAUAAUACAAGAAAAAGAAGUGAAUUAGAGUAGCUGACUUUUGACUAAAAGGUUUUGAUCCAUGACAUAAUUUUUUAAAAAUUGCAUUACCUGUAUUACCUUGAGGUUACAAAACAGUGGUCAAAAAAGGUUGUGGGAACUUCCACUCCCGACCAAGAUAAAGUAACAGGGACUAUAAUCUCCUUCUACCAAUAACAACCCCCAAAAUGGAUAAAAUAUAGGAAGCAAUGGUUUUCAAGACACCGGAGGGCAGUCAACAAAGGAUAGUGAUCCCUAAGAGACAGGAAAUAAGCCAGACGAAUCCUCUGAGUAACCCUGCUUCCCAUCUUGGAGAGUUUCCAGGCCACAGUGCUGGGAGGGGGAGCUCAGUAGAGUGCCAGGGACUCUGGGAGUUGAGAUAAAGUUGAGAGUCCAGGGGACUGUCAUGGCUGGAGUUCACAGGACAGAGUGCUGGAGAGGAGAGAGCUGCACAGAGAGAACUUGAAAGGCCUGCAAAGGGUUCCCCUCAAGUAUUCGGCUGAGUACUAAUUAGUACCUGUCUGUGAGGAAAUUACCUGAAGCUGGGGAAAGAAACCCCUAAAUAUAUUAGGGGUAGCAGGAUCUGGUGCUCACACAGAGCUGAGAAUAUUUGCCCUUCUCACCAGCCAGACUGGAAAACCCCAUGAUUCACAGGACAUUAGUUGUAAAGAUACAUUUGAAAAGAGAAGAUGACAUCAAUAUAUUUGAUGGCGUCCCCGUGAAGAGUGGUUGCCAAUACUACAGGAAGAGAAAAGAACUUUGAAAAGUAGAUAGAAUUUCACUCCGCAAAGCAUUGUUUAGUGGGACGAUUCUGGAAUUAGGCUCAGAAUUGUGACAGGAUGACUCUUCUGUUACUGAAAAUUACAUCCACCGUUUAAAGCAUUUUGGUAUGCUAAACCCAUAAUGAAAAAUUUUGAAAGAUCAUGUUUCUAAGAACCCCUAAAGAAGAAACAGGCCAUUCAGUGACAUCACUCAGAGAACGCGAAAGGACCAGCACUCCAACAGACUGAAACAAAAGCUUUUUUACAGGAGACAUUAAUGCCAGAAAGGAAAGGGAGCUAAGAAGAUCAAUAUAUUACAGCCAGAGCCCUUCCUGGCAUAGCCCAGAGAGACAGACAGGGCUCAGUUGAGCUCUCUGGGCAGCUCCCAUGCUCAUUUCUCAGGGUUCAACAGGUCAGCAUAGAACCCAAGGAAAUGGAUGACAUUGGUGGGGUGCUCUGUAUAAGGUGCUGGCAACAGUGAGAUUUCCUCUGGAAUAAGUCUAUAGUGAGUUGGAAUUUUCUUCUGGCUAGAAUGCUCUUGACAGUGUAUAAUCCAAGAUUGUUUCCUUGGCCUUCCAAAAAGUUCCAUAAGCUACCUAAGGGGCUGCAAUAAAUCUCUUCCUUUUUAAACUAGCUUGAGUGGAUUUUGUUCUCUGCAAAACAGAUCCUGCAACUAAGAACCCCGCCAGUAAUUGUUGCCAUUAAUUGGGAAUAAACUAAACCACUGUAAAAAAGUAACUCCAAGUACAGUGGAAUGUUUUAGAAGCUUCUUUGUCUCUUACAUCACAGCUCAAGAUGGGUAAUCGGGCUGUGCUCCACAAACUCAGCUAGAGACCCAGGCUGGUGGGAUGAUGCUGACAUCUGCUCCACUUGGCUUUUCUCUCUGGCUCUAAGGUGUCCGCUGCAGUUGUCUUCAGCCGCACUGCACUGUAUCCACGUUCAAGCCCAUGGGAAGGAAAAGGAGAAAACGUGGAGGGAAAACAACUUCAUAUUGAAGGACAUGAAGCAGACAUUGUUGCUAAAACCUACUAGCUAAAACCAAGACUCAAAGCAUCACCAAGAUCCAAGAGAAGAUGGAAAAUGUAAUCUCUAACUGGAGUGGCCAUUAGUCUAGCCAAAACUUGGGUGUGAGGAGUUCUUCUAGUACAAGAAGAAGGGGGGCAUGGAUAUGGGGAAAAUUCCAAAAUUUUUUAAAAGAGCACAUCAUCAAGCUUUUGAAACCUCAGAGGUUCCCUGCAAAUGGGCUUUUCCUCUAACCCUUUCUCCCAAAGCAAGGAUACCUGCAAGAA